rnacentral:rRNA from 1 species
ACACGACUACAUUAGAUACCCGCGUAGUCCUAGCCGUAAACGAUACUCGCUAGGUGUCGGCCACGGUGCGACCGUUGUCGGUGCCGUAGGGAAGCCGUGAAGCGAGCCACCUGGGAAGCACGGCCGCAAGGCUGAAACUUAAAGGAAUUGGCGGGGGAACACAACAACGGGUGGAGCUUGCGGUUUAAUUGGAUUCAACGCCGGAAAUCUUACCGGGACCGACAGCAACAUGAAGGCCAAGCUGAAGACUUUGCCGGAUUAGCUG